ensembl:lncRNA
GUAAGUGAUUCUUUGAAAUUAAUUAAUUUCCAAACAGAUGAAUAUCUCUUAAAAUGUCACCAAGAUAAUUAGACAACAAGAUCAGUGCCUUAUUUUCAGAUUUCAAGGCAUCCUGUCCAGUGGCCAAGAGAGAUGGGGAAAGGCACUUUGAUAAUCCCAUUUGUUUAUUUCUAGGAACAUCCAUAUGGCAAGUCAGUACAAAUCAAGGGACACUACAGUAAUUCUUCUUCAAAUGAUAUUGUAAAUGAUAUUUAUAGAAUCAUAGAAUCACCAAGGUUGGAAAAGACCCACAGGAUCACCCACUCCAACCAUCCACCCAUCACCAAUAGUUCUCACUAAACCAUGUCCCUCAACACAACGUCCAAAUGUUCCUUGAAUGCUUCCAGGGUCUGUGACUCCACCACCUCCGUUGGCAGCCCAUUCCAGUGCCUGACCACUCUUUCAGAGAAGUAGUAUUUUCCAGUGUCCAUCCUGAACCCUCCCUGAUGCAGCUUGAAGCCAUUCCCUCUAGUCCUAUCACUGGUUACACGAGAGAAGAGGCCAACCCCCAGCUCACUACAACCUCCCUGCAGGUAGUUAUAAAGAGCAAUAAGGUCUCCCCUGAGCCUCCUCUUCUCUAGACUGAACAAUCCCAGCUCCUUCAGCUGCUCCUCAUAAGGCCUGUGCUCCAGACCCCCAGGCCUCAAUGUCUUUCUUGCAGUGAGGGGCCCAAAACUGGACACAGUAC